rnacentral:rRNA from 1 species
UCGAGAAUCUUCGGCAAUGGGCGCAAGCCUGACCGAGCGACGCCGCGUGGAGGAUGAAGGCCUUCGGGUUGUAAACUCCUGUCGAGGGGGAAAAAGGGUUGAAAGACCUUGAUUGAUCCCUGGAGGAAGCACGGGCUAAGUUCGUGCCAGCAGCCGCGGUAAGACGAACCGUGCGAACGUUAUUCGGAAUCAUUGGGCUUAAAGCGCGUGUAGGCGGAUUCGUGCGUCUGUCGCUGAAAUCCCCCGGCUCAACCGGGGAACGGGCGCGGAUACGACGAGUCUGGAGGGGCAUAGGGGGACCUGGAACUUCCGGUGGAGCGGUGAAAUGCGUUGAGAUCGGAAGGAACGCCCGUGGCGAAAGCGAGGUCCUGGAUGCCUACUGACGCUGAGACGCGAAAGCCAGGGGAGCGAACG